rnacentral:lncRNA from 1 species
GUUUGGAUGUUUGACAGUGUUUUAUGAUAAAUGUAGUUCUAUGAUUUUCCUAUAUGUGUUAUUAACUGUGUUGCACGAUGACAACCAACCUGAGCAUUAGGAGUGUUGUUUAUUUUAUAUUUAGUUUAGUUUUUAUGUUCAAGACGGGCAUGGAAGAGACACUAAUUGCAUUAGUUACCAAAUGAUUAUGAUAGAAUAUGUUCCACAUCUUUGAUUUUGGAUACAUUUUAAAGCUAGGAGAGCAACACAUAAUAGGUUCAAUUUUUCGUGAUUUUUUUAAAUUGGGAGAUGAUAUCUGAGAACAUGAUAUGAGGAGCCUGUAAUUCAGUGGUUGUCGUUUGUUUAUGUGUUACAUAUUCGUUUUUUCUUUAUUUUUUGUACAUAAAUAAGCCUGUUAUUUUUCUCCUUUGAAUUGUUUUACAUUGUCAUUUCGAGACCUUUUAUAGCUGACUAUGCUGUAUUAGCUUUGCUCAUUGUUGAAGGUUGUGCGGUGACCUGUAAUUGUUAAUUUCUAUGUCAUUUUGGUCUGUUGU